UUGCAAAUGAUAUUUGAGAGGCUUCAGUGCAAGGACUGUGGCAGUUACUCACCUGUGUGUGGCAACUCUCUGGACGGGCCUCGCGCAUACAUACAAUAUUUAAAAAACAAAAGGAACCGUUUCCUGAACAAUAAAGUGAGGUGCCGACACCCG